rnacentral:rRNA from 1 species
CGAUGGACAGCAGGUUUAGAUUCCUGUACCGCAUAUAAACAGAACUGUGGGGACGCAUGGGGAGAGCAUGGGCCGGGAAUGGAAAUACCGGUGCAAGCGAAGGAGGUGUGCAGCCGGCAAAUCCGCUGCAUGAGCCGAAAGCGUGACGCGGAGCGAAAUGAAAGUAGCGAAGCAUGUGAGCCCUGUGCCGAGAAAAGCCGCUAUUGCUUUAUAUGUGCCCGUACCGUAAACCGACACAGGUGGAUGAGGAGAGAAUCCUAAGGCCGGCGGAAGAAGUAUUGUUAAGGAACUCGGCAAAAUGACCCCGUAACUUCGGGAGAAGGGGUGCCCACGGGAGUGGGCCGCAGAGAAUAGGCUCAAGCAACUGUUUAGCAAAAACACAGGUCUAUGCGAAACCGAAAGGUGAAGUAUAUGGGCUGACGCCUGCCCGGUGCUGGAAGGUUAAGAGGAGAGGUCAGCGCAAGCGAAGCUUUGAAUUUAAGCCCCAGUAAACGGCGGCCGUAACUAUAACGGUCCUAAGGUAGCGAAAUUCCUUGUCGGGUAAGUUCCGACCCGCACGAAAGGCGUAAUGAUUUGAGCACUGUCUCGACAAUACAUCCGGUGAAAUUGAAGUACCAGUGAAGAUGCUGGUUACCCGCGCCAGGACGGAAAGACCCCAUGGAGCUUUACUCCAGUUUGGUACUGGGAUUCGGUACUGCACGUACAGGAUAGGUGGGAGACUUUGAAACUUGAACGCCAGUUUGAGUGGAGUCGCUGUUGGGAUACCACCCCUGCAGUAUUGGAUUUCUAACCAGUCACCGUGAUCCGGUGAUGGGACAAUGCCAGGCGGGGAGUUUGACUGGGGCGGUCGCCUCCGAAAGGGUAUCGGAGGCGCUCAAAGGUUCCCUCAGAAUGGUCGGAAACCAUUUGAAGAGUGCAAAGGCAGAAGGGAGCUUGACUGCGACACCGACGGGUGGAGCAGGUAGGAAACUAGGACUUAGUGAUCCGGUGGCAUAAAGUGGGAUUGCCAUCGCUCAACGGAUAAAAGCUACCCUGGGGAUAACAGGCUUAUCACUCCCAAGAGUUCACAUCGACGGAGUGGUUUGGCACCUCGAUGUCGGCUCAUCGCAUCCUGGGGCUGUAGCAGGUCCCAAGGGUUGGGCUGUUCGCCCAUUAAAGCGGUACGCGAGCUGGGUUCAGAACGUCGUGAGACAGUUCGGUCCCUAUCCGGCGCGGGCGGAGGAUAUUUGAGAGGAGCUGUCCUUAGUACGAGAGGACCGGGAUGGACGGACCACUGGUGUAUCUGCUGUCGGCCAACGGCAUGGCAGAGUAGCCAAGUCCGGAAGGGAUAAACGCUGAAGGCAUCUAAGCGUGAAGCCCCCCUCAAGAUGAGAUAUCCCUCACAAAAGUGGGUAAGAUCCCUUGAAGACUACAAGGUAGAUAGGGCAGAGGUGGAAGUGUGGCAACACAUGGAGCUGACUGUUACUAAUCGAUCGAGGGCUUGACCA